ACCAUGAUCACCCAUCCUUAUUCGCAGUGAUUGAAAUCAAAUCGUGUACAGGUACCCUUUGAACCUCCUCGGUAAUUUUUUGUAACACCAAUCUAUCACCAAAAACGUAGAUACCGCUGGUCGAAUCUGUUUGGACUUGCUCAAGAUGCCACCGAAAGGCAGUUGGAAGCCAACCAUAACCCUCGAAGGACUUCUAAUCGCUUUGCAGAGUUUGAUGACCAAUCCAACCUGGACCCUCUAAUGGUCAACAUCGCGGAAGAGUACAAAUAUAAUCUGCCAGAA
rnacentral:lncRNA from 1 species